rnacentral:rRNA from 1 species
AUUGAACGCUGGCGGCAGGCCUAACACAUGCAAGUCGAGCGAGCGGCGGACGGGUGAGUAAUGUCUGGGAAACUGCCCGAUGGAGGGGGAUAACUACUGGAAACGGUAGCUAAUAUCGUAUACGAUCUGAUGUGCCCAGAUGGGAUUGGCUAGUAGGUGGGGUAACGGCUCACCUAGGCGACGAUCCCUAGCUGGUCUGAGAGGAUGACCAUCGACCCUGGAAGUGGACCACGGUCCUGGCUCCUACGAGAGGCAGCAGUUGGGAAUAUUGCACAGUAGGGGCAAGCCUGAUGCAGCCAUGCCGAGUGUGUGAAGAAGGCGUUCGGGUUGUAAAGCACUUUCAGCGGGGAGGCGUUACCCGCAGAAGAAGCACCGGCUAACUCCGUGCCAGCCGCCGCGGUAAUAC